GACGAACGCUGGCGGCGUGCUUAACACAUGCAAGUCGAACGGAAAGGCCCUGCUUUUGUGGGGUGCUCGAGUGGCGAACGGGUGAGUAACACGUGAGUAACCUGCCCUUGACUUUGGGAUAACUUCAGGAAACUGGGGCUAAUACCGGAUAGGAGCUCCUGCUGCAUGGUGGGGGUUGGAAAGUUUCGGCGGUUGGGGAUGGACUCGCGGCUUAUCAGCUUGUUGGUGGGGUAGUGGCUUACCAAGGCUUUGACGGGUAGCCGGCCUGAGAGGGUGACCGGCCACAUUGGGACUGAGAUACGGCCCAGACUCCUACGGGAGGCAGCAGUGGGGAAUAUUGCACAAUGGGCGGAAGCCUGAUGCAGCAACGCCGCGUGCGGGAUGACGGCCUUCGGGUUGUAAACCGCUUUCGCCUGUGACGAAGCGUGAGUGACGGUAAUGGGUAGAGAAGCACCGGCUAACUACGUG
rnacentral:rRNA from 1 species